rnacentral:rRNA from 1 species
GAUGAACGCUGGCGGCGUGCCUAAUACAUGCAAGUCGAGCGAACAGACGAGGAGCUUGAUCCUCUGACGUUAGCGGCGGCCGGGUGAGUAACACGUGGAUAACCUACCUAUAAGACUGGGAUAACUUCGGGAAACCGGAGCUAAUACCGGAUAAUAUAUUGAACCGCAUGGUUCAAUAGUGAAAGACGGUUUUGCUGUCACUUAUAGAUGAAUCCGCGCCGCAUUAUCUAGUUGGUAAGGGAACGGCUUACCAAGGCAACGAUCCGUAACCGACGUCAGAGGGUGGUCGCCCACACUGGAACUGAGGCACGGUCCACACUCCUACGGGAGGCAGCAGUAGGGAAUCCUCCGCAAUGGGCGAAAGCUUGACGGAGCAACGCCGCGUGAGUGAUGAAGGUCUUCGGAUCGUAAAACUCUGUUAUUAGGGAAGAACAAAUGUGUAAGUAACUAUGCACGUCUUGACGGUACCUAAUCAGAAAGCCACGGCUAACUACGUG